UAGGGAAUCUUCGGCAAUGGGGGGCAACCCUGACCGAGCAACGCCGCGUGAGUGAAGAAGGUUUUCGGAUCGUAAAGCUCUGUUGUAAGAGAAGAACGGAUGUGGGGAGUGGAAAAUCCAUGUCGUGACGGUAUCUUACCAGAAAGGGAUGGCUAACUACGUGCCAGCAGCCGCGGUAAUACGUAGGUCCCGAGCGUUGUCCGGAUUUAUUGGGCGUAAAGCGAGCGCAGGCGGUUUCAUAAGUCUGAAGUUAAAGGCAGUGGCUUAACCAUUGUACGCUUUGGAAACUGUGAGACUUGAGUGCAGAAGGGGAGAGUGGAAUUCCAUGUGUAGCGGUGAAAUGCGUAGAUAUAUGGAG
rnacentral:rRNA from 1 species